UGUAUAUUUCAUAUAUAUAUAUAUAUAUAUAUAUAUGUGCGCACACACACUCAUGAAGUGGGUCCUGGGCAUAGGCCAUGGCACAGCUAGCGACUGGAGUGCCACUAGCUAUGUGAAUGCCAUUAGUAUACAACAUUUGAGAGUUCAAUAGAGUCAGUAUUAGAGAGGGGUUAGAGCAGAUCAAUAAGGUGUGAUUCGUAGCUGAUGGUGCAUCUGCCAUAGGUGCACUGUAUAGAUGUUGAACUGAAGUAUUACAAGUGGAGUGACACGCAAACAUACUGUAUAUGCAUAGGUACCCCUGCCAUGAGAAGGGUCCUGUCUCUUCUCUGAUAGGUUGGUAGAUCUGGUUCAAGAAGCCCUCUGAGCAGGCGAGAUGGACGAGGCUGAAUCACAGUUUGUUCACUAGAAUAAGGACAUCAAGGACUAAGUCUCUGUUUUAACAUUAACUACUCGACUCAUGCCAAAGACGUGAUUUUAACUCUGAAUAUUUUGGGGGCAAAAUUUUGCACAUGGACAUGUAGUUUACAGCGAGAACCAACCCCUGAUUCCUAAAUGAAAUGGCAUAUAGACUUGGUCACUAACCCUAGCAGUAUACAAAGACACCAUUUCACUGUGCUCUGUCCUGAAAUGAUGUCAUUCACUUCUAAUAGGGUCUCUGGCAUAGUAUUAUACACCUGACAGUCUUUGGUGUCAAGUAAAUGAGUCUACUAAUUUCCUGUCUAAAAAGUCUACCACGAACAACAGAAUGGAAUCUUGUAUUUGGAGAGGAGGUAGAUGCUUGUCCCAGGAGUAUACUAUGAUGUGCAGUACGUACUGGGCCAAUAGGACUUCACCUGAAGUGUGCAGUACAUACUGGGCCAAUUGGACUUCACCUGAAGUGUGCAGUACAUACUGGGCCAAUAGGACUUCACAUGAAGUGGACGCGUGGGACACCUGGGACAAACCUGACACAGAUUUGAUCCCAACUCAAAUGGUACUACGAGUGGCCAUGAGUGGAGAAAAGUGUUAGUAGGCUGGAGGGAGUGUGUGAGUGUGUGUGUGUGUAUGUAAUUAUUCAUUUACCACAUCUUUAUUUCUGCGACAAUAAUUUCUUGUCCCAAACCAUUCUGAAUCCUUCUGAGAUGCAGGUGUAGUACAGAGCAGGUGUGUUCUUCUUCAUAGGGUUAAGAAGAUGGACCCCCACGCACAGCCCCCACUCGUAGACAUGCAGGUGUACUACACCAAAAGCACACCAAUGACUUUUCCCUGAUAUGAACAUAUGGACAUGGUGAUGUUUCUGUCCCUCUUGUAUCAACGGCUAUUCUCAGUUUUUGAAGUCUGUCUGUGGGUGUGUAUGUAUAUGUGUCUUUGUAUAUAUAUCUGUGUAAAUAUGAGUAUUGUAAAUGCAGAUCUCCAUUGGCCAUGGCUAUGUGAGGUUGUGCAGACAUUUUAGUUGUUCUUAAUUGUACAUCAUCUUGAUGGACAUUGAUGCUGUCCAGUCCCAAAGUGGAGUUGCCUUCCUACUUGGCCUACCAGAUAGCAUGGAGGCCUCUAAUUGGCUGGUACGAUCUACAUAAGCCAAUGGCCCAGUCAAGAUUGAGUGCAAUAUGGAAAAGCCACUCAUCCAGGGAGUUCUUACGGGCAAAACAAGUUGGCAGAGACAUGGUUCAUUUGAAUCCGAGUAGAAUAACUGCUGUCUAAGUCGGAAUACUCAAUGAUGUGAAUGACACACAUUUGCAUCAUGUAGCCAUGGCAAUGGACAAAUUGGGUUGUUGUUUUUCUUGUUUUUUUUUUGCAUAUCACCGUCUAGUUCAAUGACUCGUUUGUAAUAUACUUUGUGACACUAAAAACAGGAUGUUGACAUUUGUACCACAAGUCUUUUCUGAUGGUUUUAAGAAUUAGGGAGAAUGGAUACAAAUAGUCGAAAGCAUUUUAAAUAACCCUGAAAAAUGAGGACUGUUUUGUGGCAGUGAAUAAAUGUUUCAUACAGCUGA